rnacentral:rRNA from 1 species
AAUGGAUGGCGCUCAAGCGUACUACCAAUACCUCGCCGCUAGGGUAGAAACGAUGCCCUAGCGAGUAGGCAGGCGUGGAGGCCCGUGACGAAGCCUUGGGGGUGACCCCGGGUAGAACGGCCUCUAGUGCAGAUCUUGGUGGUAGUAGCAAAUACUCAAAUGAGAACUUUGAGGACUGAAGUGGGGAAAGGUUCCGUGUGAACAGCAGUUGGACACGGGUUAGUCGAUCCUAAGCCAUAGGGAAACUCCGCUGGCGAAAGGGAAACCGGUUAAUAUUCCGGUACCUCGAUGUGGAUUAUCGGCAACGCAACUGAAGGUGGAGACGUCGGCGGGGGCCCCGGGAAGAGUUCUCUUUUCUUCUUAACUGUCUAUCACCCUGAAAUCGGUUUGUCCGGAGCUAGGGUUUAAGGCAGGUAGAGCAGCACCUUUGUGCUGUCCGGUGCGCUCUCGACGACCCUUGAAAAUCCGCCGGAAGGAAUGAUUUUCACGCGAGGUCGUACUCAUAACCGCAGCAGGUCUCCAAGGUGAACAGCCUCUAGUUGAUA